UUUUUUUUUGAGUUCAGUGAGAGACCUUGACUCAAAAAAAAAAAAAAAAAAAAAAAAAAAAGGUAAAUAUUGAACACAGGUUGUCAGGCCUAGGGGCAACUUCCCUUACUUACUGGGUCAUCUUGACAGACAGGUGCUUUGCAAUAAAAAAAUAAACAAAAAUUUAAAAUUUAAAUAAACUCUGUUUUUGAAUUUCCUAGUAUUUAUAAAAUGUGAUGUUAUAGAGUAUCCUCUUUUUUGUUUUCUGUUGUGGUGGAGAUUAACCUGAGGGAUUGGCAUGCCUAGGCAGUGCCUAUACCUUGGAACUAGCCCACCCUUGUCCUUUCAAGGUGAAAAUUGCUUAGAAAAUAAUCAGUUAUAAAUAAUUCCAAUGAGUAGUUAUUGUAACAGUCAUAAUUAGUGUAAUGCGGAUGCUUAUUACAGAAUUGGGAUUUGAGAUAGGAAGCUCAGAAUUACAGACUCUGCCUUCGUGUGGAGGAGUUAUCUAUGCACUCUAAAUAAUUGUACUGAAUUAUGUAAGCCAUACCUUCUAGAUAAGUAUAGCUGAGUUGUGUACACUUCCCACUGGUGACUCACUGAGGCUGAGGUAUCCUCCUGCUUAGAUGUGACUGUGAACUGCAGUUGUUUCCUAGUUUCCCCUUCCCAUCAGUGCCGCUUUUCUUCUGUAUUCUGACGUCAGUAGGUGCCGUGUGUUUUCCUUAGAAUUAAUGACUCAAUAAGUUGUUCCCACGGAAAGCUUUUAAAAGAUGUUCUUCCAUUUGAAAGUACAUAGUCUUAAUCAUCUUACCAUACAGUUUUCUGCUUCCUAUGUGUUCCCUAAUUGUGAGAGCAGUUAGAUACAACAGUAGUCAAGGAACUUGCAAGUGUAUUAAAAGUGGCGGUUUUUCCCCUUUUGGCUUGAGCUUUUUUAUACAGAGUCAAGGAUUUAACCUGGUGGUGGAGUGCUUGCUGAACAUGUAUGGGCCCCAAGUUGGAGGGGAGUGGGAAAGAAGAAAGUUUAACAUGCAAAUAAUAGUUUGAAAAUUCAAGUGUAUUUGUUUAUUUCAAAUGAACAAAUUAGAAUUAAGCCGGAUGUUGUGGUGCACUCCUUUAGUCCUAGCACUCUGGAGGCAGAAGCAGGAGGAUCUCUGAGUUCGAGGCCAGCUUGGUCUAUAGAGUGAGUUCUAAGACAGCCAGGGCUACACAGAGAAACCCUGUCAAACAAACAAGUAAAACAAAAGCCAAACAAACAAACAAAACCCAAAAAACCUGAUUACUUUUUUCCUUGGUCCAUUAGGCCAAUUCUUUUUUCUAGUUAUUUGCCAAAAGAAGUUUGGCCUUGGGUUGGAGAGGUGGUUCAGUGGUUAAGAGCACUGACGGUUCUUCUGAGGGGCCUGAGUUCAAAUCCCAGCAACCACAUGGUGGCUCACAAUCAUUCGUAAUGAGAUCUGACGCCCUCUUCUGGUGUGUCUAAAGACAGCUACAGUGUACUUAAAUAUGAUAAAUCUUUGGGCCGGAGCGAGUGGGGCCAGAGGGAGCAGAGGUCCUAAGUUCAAUUCCCAGCAACCACAUGAUGGCUCAUAACCAUCUGUACAGCCACAGUAUACCAUAUACAUAAAAUAAAUAAAUCUUUUAAAAAAAGAAAAGACUGGCCUUUUAUUUAAUUUAUUUUUAAUUUUUUUUUGUUUUUUGAGACAGGGUUUCUCUGUGUAGCUUUGGAAUGCACUCUCUAGACCAGGCUGUCCUUAAAGGCGUGGAAAUCCACCUGAGUCUGCCUCCUGGGUUCUGGGAUUAAAGCCCUGCACCAGCACUCCUUGUGAUUGGCUUUUUUUUUAAUCAGUUUUUACAUUUUUAGAAAAUUAUUGUAAAAUGUAUAUAAAAUGGUUUUUCAUCUCACAAAUUUCAUGUAUACAGUUUUGUCUUAGAGGUUCGUUUGGUUUUUGUUUUGUUUUAUUUUUUUCCUGUGAAGAGACACCAUGACCACAACAACUCCUACAAAGAAAAUAUUUAAUUGAAGCAUGCUUAUAGUUUCAAAAGGUUUAUCAUCAUGGAGGGAAGCAUGAUAACAUGCAGGCAGACAUGUUACUGGAGGAGCUGGGAGUUCUACAUCUGGAUUGCAAGCAGCAAGAGUACACUGUCCUACUGAGUGUGGCCUGAGCAUCUGAGACCUCAAAUCCUGCCCCAAAUGCCACACCGACUCUAAUGAGCCCAUAUCUCCUAACAGUGCCUCUCUGAAUGGUCCUAUGAGGGCCAUUUUCUUUGAAACCACCACACAGUUCCAUGCCAUUAAUUAAAUUCAUAGUGUGUGACCAUUACUGUUGUCUAUUUCUUAAUUUUUUUCACCAACCACCGUGGAAAGUCUUGUGUCCAGCAGAGUACCUUCUCAUUCUUCCUCAUGACCCCUGGUUGCCUCUCUAGCACUAUGAAUUUGCUUUGGAUAGAUAUUUUGAGUAAGUGUAACAUUUGUUGUCCAGUGUUUAGUUUGUGUAAGGGUAUUGUCAAGGUUUAACACACCACAUUUUGUCUAUUAAUCCAUUGGUGGACACUUAGAUUCUUUCUACUUUCUGCCUAUUAUUAAGCAUGGCUUUCUGAACAUUGGUACAUGCCAGUAUCUGUCUAGUCCUAUUUUUCAUUUUUUAAAAAGUGUAUACCUAGGAAAGGAAUAUGCUAAUAUGUACAUAUACAUCACACUUGGUGGAUGAAGCAGAGCUCCAACAACUUUACAUAUAUACAUACGUAUGCGUAUAUUUGGUGAAGGAAGCAAAUCUCCAAUAACUAAUUUUUCCUAACAGUUUAUAUAUCCUAGUAAAAUCUUCCAAGCAGUAUAAAAAUUCCAAUGUGGUUACAUUCUAUUUUUCUUCUAGUGAGUGAUUGUGAAAACCCACAUUCAUGGUUUAAGAAUUCAUGGUAAUUUAUUAUAGAUUAUCAGAGUGUAAGCAUCCAAGGUAAUUUUCUCAGCCAGUUUCUCUUACUGGCAGAUUGCAAUUUGUGGUUACAAAGAAAGGAUCAAUUAUUUUAUUUAUUUUAAAAAGUAAUCUUAUUUUUAAAACCUUAGAAGAAUC
rnacentral:lncRNA from 1 species